AAUCGUACCCCAAACCGACACAGGUGGUCAGGUAGAGAAUACCAAGGCGCUUGAGAGAACUCGGGUGAAGGAACUAGGCAAAAUGGUGCCGUAACUUCGGGAGAAGGCACGCUGGCAUGUAGGUGAAGUCCCUUGCGGAUGGAGCUGAAGCCAGUCGAAGAUACCAGCUGGCUGCAACUGUUUAAUAAAAACACAGCACUGUGCAAACACGAAAGUGGACGUAUACGGUGUGACGCCUGCCCGGUGCUGGAAGGUUAAUUGAUGGGGUCAGCCGCAAGGCGAAGCUCUUGAUCGAAGCCCCAGUAAACGGCGGCCGUAACUAUAACGGUCCUAAGGUAGCGAAAUUCCUUGUCGGGUAAGUUCCGACCUGCACGAAUGGCGUAAUGAUGGCCAGGCUGUCUCCACCCGAGACUCAGUGAAAUUGAACUCGCUGUGAAGAUGCAGUGUACCCGCGGCAAGACGGAAAGACCCCGUGAACCUUUACUAUAGCUUGACACUGAACAUUGAGCCUUGAUGUGUAGGAUAGGUGGGAGGCUUUGAAGCGUGGACGCCAGUCUGCGUGGAGCCAUCCUUGAAAUACCACCCUUUAAUGUUUGAUGUUCUAACUCUGCCCCGUGAUCCGGGGUGAGGACAGUGUCUGGUGGGUAGUUUGACUGGGGCGGUCUCCUCCCAAAGAGUAACGGAGGAGCACGAAGGUUAGCUAAUCACGGUCGGACAUCGUGAGGUUAGUGCAAAGGCAUAAGCUAGCUUGACUGCGAGAGUGACGGCUCGAGCAGGUACGAAAGUAGGUCUUAGUGAUCCGGUGGUUCUGAAUGGAAGGGCCAUCGCUCAACGGAUAAAAGGUACUCCGGGGAUAACAGGCUGAUACCGCCCAAGAGUUCAUAUCGACGGCGGUGUUUGGCACCUCGAUGUCGGCUCAUCACAUCCUGGGGCUGAAGUAGGUCCCAAGGGUAUGGCUGUUCGCCAUUUAAAGUGGUACGCGAGCUGGGUUUAGAACGUCGUGAGACAGUUCGGUCCCUAUCUGCCGUGGGCGUUGGAAGAUUGAGAGGGGUUGCUCCUAGUACGAGAGGACCGGAGUGAACGCACCACUGGUGUUCGGGUUGUCAUGCCAAUGGCAUUGCCCGGUAGCUAAGUGCGGAAAAGAUAAGCGCUGAAAGCAUCUAAGCGCGAAACUUGCCUCAAGAUGAGUCUUCCCUGGGCCUUUAAGGCCCCUGAAGGAACGUUUAAGACUAAGACGUUGAUAGGCUGGGUGUGUAAGUGCAGCGAUGCAUUGAGCUAACCAGUACUAAUGAUCCGUGAGGCUUAACCUU
rnacentral:rRNA from 2 species